UGCAGUCGAACGGCCCCAAGGGGAGUGGCAGACGGGUGAGUAACGCGUGGGAAUCUACCCUUUCCUGCGGAAUAACUCGGGGAACUGGGGUUAAUACCCUAUACUCCCUACSGGGGAAAGAUUUAUCGGGGAARGAUGAGCCCGCGUUGGAUUAGCUAKUUGGUGGGGUAAAGGCCUACCAAGGCGACGAUCCAUAGCUGGUCUGAGAGGAUGAUCASCCACAUUGGGACUGAGACACGGCCCAA
rnacentral:rRNA from 1 species